rnacentral:misc_RNA from 1 species
UCUCCGUAGGUGAACCUGCGGAGGGAUCACUACAGGCUUGCAAAGGCUCUGAAACCACUGUUUAUCUACCUGAAUCUGCUUCGGCGGGCGGCCCCAGGGCGGGGCCGUAGCCGCGAGGCGCCCGCCGAAGACCCCUAAACUCUGUCGUCUUGAGAAUCUCUGAGUAUCAUAUUAAACAAAAAACAACUUUCAACAACGGAUCUCUUGGCUCUG